rnacentral:rRNA from 1 species
CCUACGGGGGGCAGCAGUGAGGAAUAUUGGUCAAUGGGCGCGAGCCUGAACCAGCCAAGUAGCGUGAAGGAUGACUGCCCUACGGGUUGUAAGCUUCUUUUAUAAAGGAAUAAAGUGAGGCACGUGUGCCUUUUUGUAUGUACUUUAUGAAUAAGGAUCGGCUAACUCCGUGCCAGCAGCCGCGGUAAUACGGAGGAUCCGAGCGUUAUCCUGAUUUAUUGGGUUUAAAGGGAGCGUAGAUGGGUUGUUAAGUCAGUUGUGAAAGGUUGCGGCUCAACCGUAAAAUUGCAAUUGAUACUGGCAGCCUUGAGUACAGUUGAGGUAGGCGGAAUUCGUGGUGUAGCGGUGAAAUGCUUAGAUAUCACGAAGAACUCCGAUUGCGAAGGCAUCUCACGAAUCCGCGAUUGACGCUGAUGCACGAAAGCGUGGGUAUCAAACAGGAUUAGAUACCCUUGUAGUC